GACGAACGCUGGCGGCGUGCUUAACACAUGCAAGUCGAACGAAGAGCGAUGGAAGCUUGCUUCUAUCAAUCUUAGUGGCGAACGGGUGAGCAACGCGUAAUCAACCUGCCCUUCAGAGGGGGACAACAGUUGGAAACGACUGCUAAUACCGCAUACGAUCUAAUCUCGGCAUCGAGGAUAGAUGAAAGGUGGCCUCUACAUGUAAGCUAUCACUGAAGGAGGGGAUUGCGUCUGAUUAGCUAGUUGGAGGGGUAACGGCCCACCAAGGCGAUGAUCAGUAGCCGGUCUGAGAGGAUGAACGGCCACAUUGGGACUGAGACACGGCCCAGACUCCUACGGGAGGCAGCAGUGGGGAAUCUUCCGCAAUGGACGAAAGUCUGACGGAGCAACGCCGCGUGAGCGAUGACGGCCUUCGGGUUGUAAAGCUCUGUUAAUCGGGACGAAAGGCCUUCUUGCGAAUAGUGAGAAGGAUUGACGGUACCGGAAUAGAAAGCCACGGCUAACUACGUG
rnacentral:rRNA from 1 species